GUGAUUGUGAAUCGUUGCCUUCAGUGCUGGCUGGCUCCAGCAAGUGCACGUUGGUGACUUUCAUCCAAAUACCCUUGUGAACCUUUGGCCUCUUGCUGGCUUCGGCUGACAGAGGAUUUUACACAAACUCGAAUGUAAUGAAAUUUAUUGUCGUGCGCAAGCACUAAUGUA
rnacentral:misc_RNA from 1 species